UCAAUAUAUAAUUAAAUUAAUCAAGCUCAAUUUAAAUUAAUAAUUAAGAGCUCAAAUAAUUUAAAUAGAUAUAAGCCCAAAUUAAUUAGAUAAAUUAAGUCUAUCAUGUUUUUCUUUGAAUAAGGCCCAAACAAUUUAAUUAAAUCGGCCCAAACAAUUUAAUUAAAUCGGCCCAAGAGUUUAAUUAAAUCGGCCCAAGAGGGAGCCCAAUAUUUUCGGCCCAAACCCGGCUCAAACCCGGCCCAAACCCGGCUGAAACCCGGCCCAAACCCGGCUGAAACCCUAACCUAAAUAUACACACACAAUAAAACACACUCAGCACACACACAUCAAAUGCGCCUCUCUCUCUCUAUCUCUAUCUCUCGGCUCUUUCUCUCCCUACUCUCUCUGCUCUCUCUCUUUACUCUCUCUGCUCUCUCUCUUCGUUCUGCCGCCGCCGCUGCCGUUCAACGGCGCCGUCGCCGCCGGCGAGCGGCGCGGCCUCUCCUCCUCUCUCCCUGAACUCUUCCCCCCCCUCUUCUCCUCUAUCUCUCUCGCUCAAUCUCGGCCGCUGGAAAGGCACAGCAGCGCAACCACGCCGCCGCUCCGUCGCCUCCGCCUCUCUUCCAUGGCAGAUCCGCCGCCGCUGCAACUGGAUCUCGGCGAGCACCGUCGACUGGAAGCCGCUGGAGCUGCUGCUGCUUCGCCGGGAGUCGAGCUGUCGCCGCCUGGAGCUGCUGCUGCUCGCCCGGAGUCGCCGCUGGCUGGCCUGCGAUCGACGGCCAGCAGCUCGCUGGAGGAGCGCCGCCGUCAGCCGCUGCCGUUGGCAGCAAGAAUCCGGCAGCCGCCUCUCCUGGAGUCGCCGUCGCCGUGAGUCGCUGUGAGGAGCCGAGCACCGUCUCACAAAGAUCGGAGACAACCGCGGCUCCGUCGCCGUCCGUCAACCGCCGGCGACGACGAGCCACCGAGGCUGCCCUCCCCCUGACCUCGACUCACACACGCAAUCAGCCAACACAAAGGGUUUUUGUGCGAGAAUCAUAUACUGUAAUUGCUCAAAUAAAAGUUUUAACUCUUUCCUUGUAACUUCAGUUCACAAGUACAUAUUUAGUAACUGUAAAUCUAUGAAUUUGCUACUCAUUUUCUUCAUUUAUCAAAGCAUAUGUAAAUCUGAGUUAAUGAGCAUGUGUUGGUAUUCUGGAAUUGAUGUAUACAAUUGAAGGAUAAUAUAUAAAUUAGAAAUAUAAA